rnacentral:rRNA from 1 species
GACGAACGCUGGCGGCGUGCUUAACACAUGCAAGUCGAACGAUGAACCACUUCGGUGGGGAUUAGUGGCGAACGGGUGAGUAACACGUGGGCAAUCUGCCCUUCACUCUGGGACAAGCCCUGGAAACGGGGUCUAAUACCGGACAACACUGCCACGGGCAUCUGUGGUGGUUAAAAAGCUCCGGCGGUGAAGGAUGAGCCCGCGGCCUAUCAGCUUGUUGGUGAGGUAAUGGCNCACCAAGGCGACGACGGGUAGCCGGCCUGAGAGGGCGACCGGCCACACUGGGACUGAGACACGGCCCAGACUCCUACGGGAGGCAGCAGUGGGGAAUAUUGCACAAUGGGCGAAAGCCUGAUGCAGCGACGCCGCGUGAGGGA